AAUCUGCUCCUAUCUCAGCACUCCUAGAGUGCUCCCAUCCCAGACUUCAACAUUACCACAACCUUGAUCUGAGCUUUUUCAUCCAAAUUUGGGGAAAGUAACAAUGAAGUUAGACCUAAAGAAUGGGACUGAAUCAACUGUGAUUUAUCAAGUUUCUUCAGCUGCUCCAACUAGAAGCCUGAACUAGAGGCCCUUCAAAAGAGUGUGCCAGAAAUGGAUCACAAGGCUGGCAUGGAAACAUGAUAAAGUAGUACUGGAGAACAUCAAUUAUCUGGACAUCUGCCAGACCUCUCUCUUUCUUCCAAAAGUAAAGAAGCCAACAAUAUCUUACCUUGACUUAAUCACCAUUUCAUACUUCAAAAAAUAGAGGAACAAAUAAAGAGAAUGGAAAUUUUGGGCUUGAUUCACAUCAAGUAGAAAUUAGUUGUUGCUACAGAAAUAAUGUAGCAUGGACAGAUGCAAAUCCUUCUUUUUAGAAUUUUUGA